GCCUGGGUGGCUCAGUAUCUUGAGCGUCUGACUUCAGCUCAGGUCAUGUUCUCAGUUUGUGAGUUCAAGCCCCGCAUCAGGCU
rnacentral:tRNA from 1 species